GGAUCAGUUCGUCGGUCGUGCCUUUGGUAUGUACUGGUGUUACUGGUUCCUCCCUUCUGACGAACCGUCAUGUCAUUAAUUUGGUGUGGCGGGAAAUCAGGACUGUUACUUUGAAAAAAUUAGAGUGUUUAAAGCAGGCGUUUGCUUGAAUACAUUAGCAUGGAAUAAUGGAAUAGGGCUGCUGCCCCAUUUUGUUGGUUUCUGGGACCGUAGCA
rnacentral:rRNA from 1 species